UACGGAGGGUGCAAGCGUUAUCCGGAUUCACUGGGUUUAAAGGGUGUGUAGGCGGUGCUCUAAGUCUGGUGUGAAAUCUCCCGGCUUAACUGGGAGGGUGCGCCGGAAACUGGAGUGCUUGAGUGUGGGAGAGGAAAGCGGAAUUCCUGGUGUAGCGGUGAAAUGCGUAGAUAUCAGGAGGAACACCGGUGGCGAAGGCGGUGAUCUGGGCCGACACUGACGCUGUAGAGCGAAAGCGUGGGGAGCGAACAGG
rnacentral:rRNA from 1 species